rnacentral:ncRNA from 1 species
AGUAUUGAGAGGAACUUUUCCUGAUACAAGAAGACCCGAAUGAAGCGCCUCUGAUAUAUUAGUUAUCGUGUUCAUAAUAAAUGUUGGAUAGUCAAGUGCUGAAGGAGACAACUACUGAAAGUAUCUAAGUAGUAAGUUUGCUUCAAAAUGAAUGUU